GACGAACACUGGCGGCGUGCUUAACACAUGCAAGUCGAACGGAAAGGCCCUGCUUUUGUGGGGUGCUCGAGUGGCGAACGGGUGAGUAACACGUGAGUAACCUGCCCUUGACUUUGGGAUGACUUCAGGAAACUGGGGCUAAUACCGGAUAGGAGCUCCUGCUGCAUGGUGGGGGUUGGAAAGUUUCGGCGGUUGGGGAUGGACUCGCGGCUUAUCAGCUUGUUGGUGGGGUAGUGGCUUACCAAGGCUUUGACGGGUAGCCGGCCUGAGAGAGUGACCGGCCACAUUGGGACUGAGAUACGGCCCAGACUCCUACGGGAGGCAGCAGUGGGGAAUAUUGCACAAUGGGCGGAAGCCUGAUGCAGCAACGCCGCGUGCGGGAUGACGGCCUUCGGGUUGUAAACCGCUUUCGCCUGUGACGAAGCGUGAGUGACGGUAAUGGGUAAAGAAGCACCGGCUAACUACGUGCCAGCAGCCGCGGUGAUACGUAGGGUGCGAGCGUUGUCCGGAUUUAUUGGGCGUAAAGGGCUCGUAGGUGGUUGAUCGCGUCGGAAGUGUAAUCUUGGGGCUUAACCCUGAGCGUGCUUUCGAUACGGGUUGACUUGAGGAAGGUAGGGGAGAAUGGAAUUCCUGGUGGAGCGGUGGAAUGCGCAGAUAUCAGGAGGAACACCAGUGGCGAAGGCGGUUCUCUGGGCCUUUCCUGACGCUGAGGAGCGAAAGCGUGGGGAGCGAACAGGCUUAGAUACCCUGGUAGUCCACGCUGUAAACGGUGGGUACUAGGUGUGGGGUCCAUUCCACGGGUUCCGUGCCGUAGCUAGCGCUUUAAGUACCCCGCCUGGGGAGUACGGCCGCAAGGCUAAAACUCAAAGGAAUUGACGGGGCCCCGCACAAGCGGCGGAGCAUGCGGAUUAAUUCGAUGCAACGCGUAGAACCUUACCUGGGUUUGACAUGGAUCGGGAGCGCUCAGAGAUGGGUGUGCCUCUUUUGGGGUCGGUUCACAGGUGGUGCAUGGCUGUCGUCAGCUCGUGUCGUGAGAUGUUGGGUUAAGUCCCGCAACGAGCGCAACCCUUGUUCACUGUUGCCAGCACGUUAUGGUGGGGACUCAGUGGAGACCGCCAGGGUCAACUCGGAGGAAGGUGGGGAUGACGUCAAGUCAUCAUGCCCCUUAUGUCCAGGGCUUCACGCAUGCUACAAUGGCUGGUACAGAGAGUGGCGAGCCUGUGAGGGUGAGCGAAUCUCGGAAAGCCGGUCUCAGUUCGGAUUGGGGUCUGCAACUCGACCUCAUGAAGUCGGAGUCGCUAGUAAUCGCAGAUCAGCAACGCUGCGGUGAAUACGUUCCCGGGGCU
rnacentral:rRNA from 1 species